rnacentral:rRNA from 1 species
UGCUUCCGCCGACGACCGGCGCACGGGUGCGUAACGCGUAUACAAUCUACCUUAUACUGGGGUAUAGCCUUUAGAAAUGAAGAUUAACCCCCCAUAGUCUCUUAGAGUGGCAUCACUUCUAGAGUAAAGGUUACGGUAUAAGAUGAGUAUGCGUUCUAUUAGUUUGUUGGUGUGGUAACGGCACACCAAGACUACGAUAGAUAGGGGCCCUGAGAGGGGGAUCCCCCACACUGGUACUGAGACACGGACCAGACUCCUACGGGAGGCAGCAGUGAGGAAUAUUGGACAAUGGAGGCAACUCUGAUCCAGCCAUGCCGCGUGCAGGAAGACUGCCCUAUGGGUUGUAAACUGCUUUUAUACAGGAAGAAACACCUCUACGUGUAGAGGCUUGACGGUACUGUAAGAAUAAGGAUCGGCUAACUCCGUGCCAGCAGCCGCGGUAAUACGGAGGAUCCAAGCGUUAUCCGGAAUCAUUGGGUUUAAAGGGUCCGUAGGUGGAUAAUUAAGUCAGAGGUGAAAUCUUGCAGCUCAACUGUAAAAUUGCCUUUGAAACUGGUUAUCUUGAGUUAUUAUGAAGUAGUUAGAAUAUGUAGUGUAGCGGUGAAAUGCAUAGAUAUUACAUAGAAUACCAAUUGCGAAGGCAGAUUACUAAUAAUCAACUGACACUGAUGGACGAAAGCGUGGGUAGCGAACAGGAUU